rnacentral:rRNA from 1 species
GUAGGUGGCAAGCGUUGUACGGAAUUAUUGGGCGUAAAGCGCGCGCAGGCGGUUCUUUAAGUCUGAUGUGAAAGCCCACGGCUCAACCGUGGAGGGUCAUUGGAAACUGGAGAACUUGAGUACAGAAGAGGAAAGCGGAAUUCCACGUGUAGCGGUGAAAUGCGUAGAGAUGUGGAGGAACACCAGUGGCGAAGGCGGCUUUCUGGUCUGUAACUGACGCUGAGGCGCGAAAGCGUGGGGAGCAAACAGGAUUAGAUACCCUGGUAGUCCACGCCGUAAACGAUGAGUGCUAAGUGUUAGGGGGUUUCCGCCCCCUUAGUGCUGCAGCUAACGCAUUAAGCACUCCGCCUGGGAGUACGGCCGCAAGGCUG